rnacentral:rRNA from 1 species
GGAGUAUGGGCCGUGUCUCAGUCCCAUUGUGGCUGAUCAUCCUCUCAAACCAGCUACUGAUCAUCGCCUUGGUGGUCCAUUACACCCCCAACUAGCUAAUCAGAUGCAGACUCAUCCCAGAGCACCGGAGUUUUCAAGAAUACUAUCUCAAGUACGCUCAUAUGGGGUAUUAGCAGAAGUUUCCCUCUGUUGUCCCCCUCUCUAGGGCAGAUUCUCUACAUUUUACUCACCCGUCCGCCACUUUCCACUCACCGAAGUGAGCUUCUCGUUCGACUUGCAUGUAUGAAGCACGCCGCCAGCGUUCGUC